rnacentral:rRNA from 1 species
UACGGGGGGGGCAAGCGUUGUUCGGAAUUACUGGGCGUAAAGGGCUCGUAGGCGGCCAACUAAGUCGGAUGUGAAAUCCCCAGGCUUAACCUGGGAACUGCAUCCGAUACUGGAUGGCUUGAAUCCGGGAGAGGGAUGCAGAAUUCCAGGUGUAGCGGUGAAAUGCGUAGAUAUCUGGAGGAAUACCGGUGGCGAAGGCGGCAUCCUGGACCGACAUUGACGCUGAGGAGCGAAAGCCAGGGGAGCAAACGGG